GCGGUCAGAGGGCUGUUCUCAUUGGUCAGCUCCACUCCACUGUCAUUCUCUGAUAGGCCCUCAGCUGGAGGCGUGUCUCCGUUCACCGGCGCCUGAGGAGAGAAGAAGAAAAACAACAUUAGGGACGGUGACUGAAAGGAGGAGUAAUCGACAGCAGAGGAGGGGAGAGACACACUUUUCUAAGUGAAGGGGUUCAGGAGGUGAACGGAGGUGAGGAGUGACGGCAGAGUGAGCAGGAAGACAGUUUGGUUAACGAGGGGGACGAGUGAUGAAAGAAGAAGAAAGAGAAGCGGCUCAGGCUGAGGAGAGACGGAAGAGGAACAGCUGCUGUAAAAACUACUGCAGAUGUUUACACAGAAGUACCACUACUGUGUGAAGUUGUAAUCUGUACAUCUGUACACACAGAUAUACAGACUGGAGCUGCAGAGUGUCCGACUCUAUGAAAUGUCACGGCUUUUUUAGCAGAAGGCAGGAGGUGCCACUUAUCUAAUCUUAUUUAUGUUUUUAUUCCUUUUGUGAUUUGCUGCUGUUGAUAAAGUAAACAAAACUAAACAA